rnacentral:lncRNA from 1 species
GCUCGGCCGAAGAAGCGAGACGAUUCGGUUCAGUCAGCAUGCUGUAAUAGCUAAUCAUGAUGGCCGACCGAGUCUCAUGAUAUGAGUCGCCAACAUGCGCAAGAGUCUGCUGCUGGGCUGCCAGGUGACUGGGAGCUUUUACAGCCAUGUGUGCCGAAGCAGGGCGAGACCAGAAGAACGUGACCUUCAGCGUGGACACGGCCAGCGAGAGCCCCUUCCUCAUCCUCCCGCUCACCUUCGACCACAUCAUCGACGAGCAGAGCCCGCUGCGCGGAUGGGCCGACAACGGUACGGAUGCUGUCAUCCUUCAUUCUGUUCACAGUCCUCAGUUUCUGAGAAAA